rnacentral:rRNA from 1 species
AUUGAACGCUGGCGGCAUGCUUUACACAUGCAAGUCGAACGGUAACAGGGAGCUUGCUCCGCUGACGAGUGGCGAGCGGGUGAGUAAUGCGUCGGAACGUGCCGAGUAGUGGGGGAUAACGCAUCGAAAGGUGUGCUAAUACCGCAUACGUACUGAGGUAGAAAGUGGGGGACCUUCGGGCCUCACGCUAUUCGAGCGGCCGACGUCUGAUUAGCUAGUUGGUGAGGUAAAGGCUCACCAAGGCGACGAUCAGUAGCGGGUCUGAGAGGAUGCUCCGCCACAAUGGGACUGAGCCACGGCCCAGACUCCUACGGGAGGCAGCAGUGGGGAAUUUUGGCCAAUGGGCGCAAGCCUGAUCCAGCCAUGCCGCGUGUCUGAAGAAGGCCUUCGGGUUGUAAAGGACUUUUGUCCGGGAGCAAAUGCUGGUGGCUAACAUCCACCGGAGCUGAGAGUACCGGAAGAAUAAGCACCGGCUAACUACGUGCCAGCCGCCGCCGUAAUAC